rnacentral:rRNA from 1 species
AGAGUUUGAUCCUGGCUCAGGACGAACGCUGGCGGCGUGCUUAACACAUGCAAGUCGAACGGGGCUCGCUACUUCGGUGGUGGGUCUAGUGGCGAACGGGUGAGUAACACGUGGGCAACCUGCCCCCGGCUCUGGGAUAACUCCAAGAAAUUGGGGCUAAUACCGGAUGUGACCGCUGGCCGCAUGGUCUGGUGGUGGAAAGGGUUUCCGGCUGGGGAUGGGCCCGCGGCCUAUCAGCUUGUUGGUGGGGUAGUGGCCUACCAAGGCGACGACGGGUAGCCGGCCUGAGAGGGUGACCGGCCACACUGGGACUGAGACACGGCCCAGACUCCUACGGGAGGCAGCAGUGGGGAAUAUUGCGCAAUGGGCGGAAGCCUGACGCAGCGACGCCGCGUGGGGGAUGACGGCCUUCGGGUUGUAAACCUCUUUCAGCAGGGACGAAGCGAAAGUGACGGUACCUGCAGAAGAAGCACCGGCCAACUACGUGCCAGCAGCCGCGGUAAUACGUAGGGUGCAAGCGUUGUCCGGAAUCAUUGGGCGUAAGGGGCUCGUAGGCGGUCCAUCACGUCGGGAGUGAAAAGCUGGGGCUCAACCCCAGUCUUGCUUCCGAUACGGGUGGACUAGAGGUAGGCAGGGGAGAAUGGAAUUCCUGGUGUAGCGGUGAAAUGCGCAGAUAUCAGGAGGAACACCGAUGGCGAAGGCAGGUCUCUGGGCAUUAACUGACGCUGAGGAGCGAAAGCAUGGGGAGCGAACAGGAUUAGAUACCCCCGUAGUCC